rnacentral:rRNA from 1 species
GAUGAACGCUGGCGGCGUGCUUAACACAUGCAAGUCGAGCGAAUGGAUUAAGAGCUUGCUCUUAUGAAGUUAGCGGCGGACGGGUGAGUAACACGUGGGUAACCUGCCCAUAAGACUGGGAUAACUCCGGGAAACCGGGGCUAAUACCGGAUAACAUUUUGAACCGCAUGGUUCGAAAUUGAAAGGCGGCUUCGGCUGUCACUUAUGGAUGGACCCGCGUCGCAUUAGCUAGUUGGUGAGGUAACGGCUCACCAAGGCAACGAGGCGUAGCCGACCUGAGAGGGUGAUCGGCCACACUGGGACUGAGACACGGCCCAGAGUCCUACGGGUGGCAGCAGUAGGGAGUCUUCCGCAAUGGACGAAAGUCUGACGGAGCAACGCCGCGUGAGUGAUGAAGGCUUUCGGGUCGUAAAACUCUGUUGUUAGGGAAGAACAAGUGCUAGUUGAAUAAGCUGGCACCUUGACGGUACCUAACCAGAAAGCCACGGCUAACUACGUGCCAGCAGCCGCGGUAA